GAAUCUAGUAAGCAGAAGAUCGCACGGCCAACUGGAGGGAUUGUGAGAUUCGGCUCCUAAUUACCAUGGUUGAAAAACAAAAAGGACUAUUUGCGACGCUUUCCAACACAUGGACAGCCAACAAACAAAAUCAAUUAUGAAAAGCUAUGGCAGUUGCAAUAAAUGCUCAUGGAGAUCAGAGAAGGGAAUGGCGGCAAGUAAAAAUAGAAAUGGUCCAGUGUAAGAGCUAGGGCCAUUACCUAUGCUAGCAUGAUGAAAAGGGUGCCAACGGGAGGAUGACCCAAAGAAGAUUGGUGGGUGCAGCCACUACUUAAUAUCAUCGGCAGAGAUAACAUGGUUAUCAUCGGAAUCGAUUUGCAAGCUAAGCUCAUUAUAACUGAUGCAUGACGGACAACGGCUGUAACAGUUUUUGCGUCAGUUCCCAAGAUUAGUCUACUCGGAAGUCCCUUUCAUUUAAUUGUACAAUUAAAAAAUUUCUUAACUGAAUCGGUUUUGCCAUUGCCACUGCAGGCAAUUGCUGUGCAACAGAUGGUUGAAGAAAUUAAGGAGAACUAUAACAUUUUGGCUCAUACAAUCAGUUUCCACAUGCGCAAGGAAACUGAUACUGUGGCUGACUCAUCACUUACAUUAACGUCUACAUCAAACAGACCUGUAAGUACCGUAGAGCGCAACAGGGCCUUUUUUUAAGGCUCGAGAAUGUGACCACUACUACUUUACAGUCCACCAUGACAGCAUCCACUGGAGGCGCUUGCACUAUCACACUCACUGGAAAAUCUGGAUCAUCUUCUUCAAAUAAACCAACCAGCAGACUCUGUCAGCUGAAACAAUAAAGGCAGCACAGCAAUGACUCAAGAAAAGAAUCAACAUUGACUGUAAGAGAUCACAAGGAGAUGUUUUUAAUUGACAAGGAGAUAAUAUCUCUAUCGAAGGUGAAUUAAUUCUGGAAAGUAGGACUUAAGAAUUUGCAGACGCAUGCCAGCGUUCAGUCACUAUAACCUUGGUGAGAGACAUGGCACUCUAUCGUGCGCUGUCUGUAGAACAUAGGCUGCUGAACACACACAGUUCAGAGCUAAGUCGACAGGAACUUUGAAGUCAUCAUUUAAGCCCAAACACCACAGUCCAGUUUUUAAAAACGUAAAUACGAUAAUGAUCAAUAUAAACACGCGAGGUCAAAAUCCUUCUCUCGAAGCACACGGACGCUGGUAUAAAAGUAUAUAUAAAAGUGGUAUAAAAGAUACGACAACCUGUGUAUUCAAUAAACACCCGCUUUCAACUGUGGAUGGUACAUAUAUAGUUCCCCGCACUCAAGCGCUUCUUUCGCAGUGAUGCUAAGCUUUUAAAUAUUUUUGUCAACUCUUUCUUGUGCGUCUCUCUAUCUGAAAGUUGAAUUAUCUUUAUAUGUAUCAUAAAAAGGCGGUCGGAUGUUUUUAGUCCAUGUAAUCUUUCAAGAAGGAAUACACGUGCAAGGUCAUCCCAAAAGACGCCCACUUGUAUUGAAGAGCCUGCAGCUCUGUAGUCUUGUGUUGCUGUAUCCCUCUCAAGGUCAUAUGUAACGAAUCCCUAAAUAAUCCAAACACCAUCUUUAAGCACGCUUAAACAUGUAAGAAGAAUGUGAAGACGGUACUGCACAGCUUCCGCGAUUCCCCCUCCCCCCAGCAAUGUCUGCGGAUGGGGAAUUGCGCACACUGCAUAAAAUUGCGCACUCCUCCUACAUCCCUGCCAAAAAAAAAAUUGCCAAAGAGGUUUUAGCUGUGACAACUAUAAAGGGUUAGAAAGAGAGGCGUGGGGGAGGUGUAGCCAGGUGGCAGCUGCGGCUGUAGUUCAUUUAACAAGAAGAGAGUAUCAGAUUCUUUACCUUUUGCUGUGUCAAGUUUGUGACUUUGCGUUCUGUGUGUAUGAUUGUGACUAACGCGCUUCUCUCUUACGCGCGCGCGCAAGCAGGGAAAAAAGUUCAGUACACUGUCAGGACAAAAGUCAAGGUAGGCAUUUUCAGUGGAAAGAACCGAAAUCUCUAGUAGGAAAAGAAAAGAAAAAGAAACCUCCGGCAUCAGCUCGCUGAGUCGUCUCUUUAUAAAUAACUGCGCGUGCACACCUCGCACCUUCUCCACGCUCUCUCCUUGUAUAGGCACGCACCACAUUGGCUUACAGGAAUCCUCACAGAGCGAGUCGACGUUUUCUGGAAAGAGGGGGAGCAGAUGGUGAUCCCGCUACACGAGCAAAGCUGAACGGUUGCUAGCCUCCAUCUCUAGCCAUCGUCCCUUCUCCACUCCUAGCGGAGCGACUCAGGACAGUCUGCAGCACG